AAAAACAAAAAACCAAACGAGAGACAACCCCCGCACGUUAACUUUCAUGGCGGCCGAAAUUCGCCAGGGGAAAAAGUCCGAGAAUUCGAGGGAGAGAAUCCAACCGGAAUCUCCAGAGCCAUGCAAAUGACUGGUGGCCGAGAACAGAUUCCUUGCCCCGCCCCCAAAGAUCUUUGAUGGCUAUUGGGUCCAUCCCCUGCUUCGAAUUCUCUUCUUAUCUCGACUCGGAUGAUGCAUGCCGCUGCUGGCGGGGGAAAACAGAGCUCCUCUCUCUUAGCAUUUCCCGUGUGAUGAGCUCGUCUCGUUCCUGACGAGGUUUACAGUCAUUUGUUUUGGGAUGGCAUGCUGAAUGAAGAAUUAUCAUGGUACAACCAUGCUUACUGUAAUGGGCAGUGUUGGCAAUUACCAGGCACUUCCAAAGAAUCCGGUUCUGCAUGAGACUGUUUCAUGCGGAGCUAGCCAUGUGAUUUGCUCCACUAAAAGUGCAGUUUUUGUUCCUGUGAGGAGUACUAGUAACGUUUUGAAUUCUUCAUUUUCUGACAAAGGCCGCACUCAACUGCAGACCCUUCACCAUGUGGCUUCAAAAAAAUGGCUAUGCCGACUGGGUGACUCCAGUUCGCUUGAUGAUGAAUAUCGUUCAUCCCGAAACAUAGCUAUCAGUCUCUUUAGGUGGUACAAGAAUGCUGUUGAUCGUGGAGGAGGUGACAACUUAAAAGAGUUCAUCAGUGCUGGGGUAAAUGCAUACGCACUCGGCUGCACUGACGAAGGAUUGAGGGAUGAACUUACUGAUAUGAAGGAUCUGGUGUUGAGAUUGAAGCAAUGCAAGCUUAUGGUGGAAACACCACUUUAAAAUCUAAGAUCAUCUCUGAGGAGAUUGAUGAGUGCAUAUUUUGGUUGAGCAUUAUAUUCAUUACCAUCUUGUGCACACCACAACCAACAGUCGUUAGAUGGUCAUCUACCCCACCAGUGUCGGAAGAAAUACUACGCCAGUGGAAAGGAUUCUAUGCUCUCAUAGCAAAUGCAUAUUAUAUUAGGGGAAUGGCAUGGCUUCCGGUGAAAACUCUUCAACUGGAGCAGAUGGCUGUGAUGGGCCGUUCAGAAGAGCCAUCGGUAGUUGCUAGCCGAAUGCGUCUGGUGUUCAGUACUCUCGAGGUGGUGAGUCCACAGUGGCCAAAAGUCUAAGUGCUCCUGACUGAGGUGUACUCAUUUUUCAAGCAUAUCAUCCCUUGUAAGAACUGUGCAGAUUAUAAGUUCCGUAAUGUUCAGUGACCCAGAAAUUUUCACUAGUCAUCGUACAUAGUAAUUUGUGCAAUAAUUACGCAAAUUUGUGAAUAUGUCUGCCCAAAUAUUCGAGUCUAGGUCUAGGCCCUGCCAUCGGUCUUUUUAGUUCAUUCAAUGUUCAGAAUACCUUCGCAAUUAGACAGAUACAAGAUGUGUAAUUGACUUAUUAGUUCUCAUUCCUACAUCACUUAAAUGCCUUCUGCA